rnacentral:snoRNA from 1 species
UGGAGGACUGAGAAGGUUACGCAGCUUGUGUUGUGCUGUUCUAACUGGUUAAAACCUCCAAGAGUAACAGACAAACCACAGAAUUAGGUGGCUCUGUCACAAACAGAGCUGAUGUGUGUUUGUGAACAAAAC